UUUAUGGUAUAAUUAAAGAGUAGAAAAGUUAAUGACGGUAGCUACACCUAAUCGAAAGUGAGGUGGUGCAUAUGAUUGUACUUCCUAAAACUAGAGAAAGGAGUAGCAUUUUUGUUUGACUCUAUUUUAGCGUUAACAAUGACAAUUAUCAGUUUAGUUACUGCGAUUGUC
rnacentral:sRNA from 1 species